rnacentral:rRNA from 1 species
GUGAGGAAUAUUGGUCAAUGGGCGGGAGCCUGAACCAGCCAAGUCGCGUGAAGGAAGAAGGAUCUAUGGUUCGUAAACUUCUUUUGCAGGGGAAUAAAGUGCAGGACGUGUCCUGUUUUGUAUGUACCCUGAGAAUAAGGAUCGGCUAACUCCGUGCCAGCAGCCGCGGUAAUACGGAGGAUCCGAGCGUUAUCCGGAUUUAUUGGGUUUAAAGGGUGCGUAGGUGGUUUGAUAAGUCAGCGGUGAAAGUUUGCAGCUUAACUGUAAAAAUGCCAUAGAAACUGUCGGACUUGAGUGUAAAUGAGGUAGGCGGAAUGCGUGGUGUAGCGGUGAAAUGCAUAGAUAUCACGCAGAACUCCGAUUGCGAAGGCAGCUUACUAAGCUACAACUGACACUGAAGCACGAAAGCGUGGGGAUCAAACAGGAUUAGAUACCCUGGUAGUCC